AGGGAUCAUUACCGAGUUUACAACUCCCAAACCCAAUGUGAACGUUACCAAACUGUUGCCUCGGCGGGGUCACGCCCCGGGUGCGUCGCAGCCCCGGAACCAGGCGCCCGCCGGAGGAACCAACCAAACUCUUUCUGUAGUCCCCUCGCGGACGUAUUUCUUUACAGCUCUGAGCAAAAAUUCAAAAUGAAUCAAAACUUUCAACAACGGAUCUCUUGGUUCUGGCAUCGAUGAAGAACGCAGCGAAAUGCGAUAAGUAAUGUGAAUUGCAGAAUUCAGUGAAUCAUCGAAUCUUUGAACGCACAUUGCGCCCGCCAGUAUUCUGGCGGGCAUGCCUGUCCGAGCGUCAUUUCAACCCUCGAACCCCUCCGGGGGAUCGGCGUUGGGGAUCGGGACCCCUCACACGGGUGCCGGCCCCUAAAUACAGUGGCGGUCUCGCCGCAGCCUCUCCUGCGCAGUAGUUUGCACAACUCGCACCGGGAGCGCGGCGCGUCCACGUCCGUAAAACACCCAACUUUCUGAAAUGUUGACCUCGGAUCAGGUAGGAAUACCCGCUGAACUUAAGCAUAUCAAUA
rnacentral:rRNA from 1 species